CAUGAGGUCUAUCCCAACUGAAACUUAACCAUAGAUUCAUGUUGUUGGAAAUGCCUCAAAGAGUAAACUUUGUAGUUCUCGCUUUACUUGUUGGAUUAUGCUAUUAACCAGCAAGAUUAAACUACAAACAGUU